AGCUAGCUGGGUUGACGCUAGUUUAUCGGUUAGCAGCAUUUCCAAGCGCUUCCCCCGUCAGUCGCCGACGGGUUUGAACCAGUGACCUUGCUGCCCCCGAUCCUGAACUUUUAGGUCGCAGAUGGCUGCCUUCGAGAAAGAAACACAUCUGUAUGUGGAGGUCUGCAGAUCCUGGAUGGUCAUGCAUGAAGUAGAGGCCCGGCCCUCAUUAUAAGGUCAUAGGCUGAGCGGCUCGUCAAUCACACACUCAUUAGUGCAGUUUAAUGACGCCGUGACCCGCCCACCUGCCUCCGGGGCUCCAGCAGGGGAAGUGAAUGGGCCGCGGGGCAAACGUCUGCAUUGUUUCUCCUCGCUCUCCGAGAGACUCAAUGGAUCUGCAGCGAAGCGCUCUCGCACUACAGGGUCAUUCUCCUCAAAUAAAACCUCAAAGAUGAAAUGCUAUAAUAUAGGAAGUAAAACUGAACUAAAAUUUAACAAGAAGAAAAAUAAAGACGGUGAAAUGGUAA